rnacentral:rRNA from 1 species
AAGUCGUAACAAGGUUUCCGUAGGUGAACCUGCGGAAGGAUCAUUAUUGAAUACGAUUGGUACUGAUGCUGGCCCUUUACUGGGCAUGUGCUCGUCCAUCUAUUUAUCUUCUCUUGUGCACAUCUUAUAGUCUUGGAUGAACCCUUGCGCAUUCGUGCGGUCUGGGAGUUGCGAAUUAAAACCUUGCUUCUCCUGCUUGUCCAAGGCUAUGUUUUCAUAUACACUAUAAAGUUACAGAAUGUCAAUUAACGACUUGUGCUUGUCACGGUCAUUAAACCUAUACAACUUUCAGCAACGGAUCUCUUGGCUCUCCUAUCGAUGAAGAACGCAGCGAAAUGCGAUAAGUAAUGUGGAUUGCAGAAUUCAGUGAAUCAUCGAAUCUUUGAACGCACCUUGCGCCCUUUGGUAUUCCGAAGGGCAUGCCUGUUUGAGUGUCAUUAAAUUAUCAACCUUGCUCGCUUUUACCGGCUUGAGUUAGGCUUGGAUGUGAGGGUCGUUGCUGGCUUCCUUCAGUGGAUGGUCUGCUCCCUUUAAAUGCAUUAGUGGGAUCUCUUGUGGACCGUCACUUGGUGUGAUAAUUAUCUAUGCCAUCUUGACUUUGAAGCAAACUAAUGGGAACCUGCUCAUAACCGUCCUUUCAGGACAACUCUUGACAUUUUGACCUCAAAUCAGGUAGGACUACCCGCUGAACUUAAGCAUAUCAAUAAGCGGAGGAAAAGAAACUAACAAGGAUUCCCCUAGUAACUGCGAGUGAAGCGGGAAAAGCUCAAAUUUAAAAUCUGGCGGUCCCUGUGGCCGUCCGAGUUGUAAUUUAGAGAAGUGUUAUCCGUGCUGGACCGUGUACAAGUCUCCUGGAAUGGAGCGUCAUAGAGGGUGAGAAUCCCGUCUUUGACACGGACUGCCAGUGCAUUGUGAUGCGCUCUCAAAGAGUCGAGUUGUUUGGGAAUGCAGCUCAAAAUGGGUGGUAAAUUCCAUCUAAAGCUAAAUAUUGAGGAGAGACCGAUAGCGAACAAGUACCGUGAGGGAAAGAUGAAAAGAACUUUGGAAAGAGAGUUAAACAGUACGUGAAAUUGCUGAAAGGGAAACGCUUGAAGUCAGUCGCGCUGUUCAGGACUCAGCCUUGCUUUGCUUGGUGUACUUCCUGUUCGGUGGGUCAGCAUCAAUUUUGGUCGGUGGAUAAAGGCUUAGAGAAUGUGGCAUCUUCGGGUGUGUUAUAGCUCUGGGUCGCAUGCAUCGGCUGGGAUUGAGGAACUCAGCACGCCGCAAGGCCGGGGACUUG